GACGAACGCUGGCGGCGUGCUUAACACAUGCAAGUCGAACGGAAAGGCCCUGCUUGCAGGGUAUUCGAGUGGCGAACGGGUGAGUAACACGUGGGUGAUCUGCCCUGCACUUCGGGAUAAGCCUGGGAAACUGGGUCUAAUACCGGAUAGGAGCCAUUUUUAGUGUGAUGGUUGGAAAGUUUUUUCGGUGUAGGAUGAGCUCGCGGCCUAUCAGCUUGUUGGUGGGGUAAUGGCCUACCAAGGCGGCGACGGGUAGCCGGCCUGAGAGGGUGGACGGCCACAUUGGGACUGAGAUACGGCCCAGACUCCUACGGGAGGCAGCAGUGGGGAAUAUUGCACAAUGGGCGCAAGCCUGAUGCAGCGACGCCGCGUGGGGGAUGACGGCCUUCGGGUUGUAAACGCCUUUCGCUAGGGACGAAGCUUUUUGUGACGGUACCUAGAUAAGAAGCACCGGCUAACUACGUG
rnacentral:rRNA from 1 species